rnacentral:rRNA from 1 species
AUUGAACGCUGGCGGCAGGCCUCACACAUGCAAGUCGAACGAGUGGCGGACGGGUGAGUAAUGCCUAGGAAUCUGCCUGGUAGUGGGGGAUAACGUCCGGAAACGGGCGCUAAUACCGCAUACUAUCAGAUGAGCCUAGGUCGGCUUAGCUAGUUGGUGGGGUAAAGGCCUACCAAGGCGACGAUCCGUAACUGGUCUGAGAGGAUGAUCAGCCAAGCUGGAACGGAGACACGGUCCAGACUCCUACGGGAGGGAGCAGGGGGGAAUAUUGCACAAUGGGCGCAAGCCUGAUGCAGCAAUGCCGCGUGUAUGAAGAAGGCCUUCGGGUUGUAAAGUACUUUCAGCGGGGAGGCGUUACCCGCAGAAGAAGCACCGACUAACUCCGUGCCAGCCGCCGCGGUAAUUC